CCGAGCCCUCAUCCACUCCACUCUUCUUCUCUCGCGCCCGACGCCGGCCCUAACCGCCGGCCGGCGGUUUCUUCCUCCCGAGCCGCACACCCGAAGACCUUUUCUUCAUCUUCUUCUCCACCCGAGCCGAAGCUUUCCCCUGCCCUAAAAUCGCCGAAAGCUUGCUCUAUGCCCACUGGUGCCGACGCCGAGCACUGCCGCUCUUCCUCAGCCCUAGCCGCCGCACGGGACAUUGCCGGCCACCAGGACCGACCCAGGCCGCUGUCGCCGUGGGGAUCCCAGCGCCGCCGACGCCCUUCUCCCGUUUCUCUCUGCCCUAGUUUUGCACAGUGUCACCGCUACCACAACCGGCAACCGGCUGUCCUCCCUCUGCCGACGCCGACUCCUCCACUGUGCAGUGCCUAGCCGACUCCUUCCUUUGUCCUAGGUUCCCUCUUGUUGCUGGAUCCGAACCCUAACUCCUCUGGGUUGGGUUGUGGUCAGCCUACCCGACUGGUAAUUUUUCCUACUGCGCCACCAGCUGCCUUCUUCCUGCUUCGCCACCAGCUGCCGGCAGAGAGAAAAACAAGGGCUAUCGAGUUGGCAGCUUCUCCGGAUCUUGGCAGUAAGUUCUAUAGGAUUUGAGCAGUGUUGAGGCAUCAGGGAAUUUGGGUAAGGUUGGUGUUAAGUUAAUUACUGUUGAGGUGAGUAUGGGAAGAUGAACUUGAUGAUUUCGAUAGUUUGAGCUAUUGGUAUUACUUUUGUUAUGUAAGCAUAGGGUUAAUUAUAUUAAAUCCUGUGUAGACCUUAUAUGGUGAUUUCCUUUGCAGACAUUGUUGGAGAAAGCCCUAAUCGCUGUGAUCUUCCUUUUGUGUGAUCCAGAGGACCUUGACGCGAGACAAGUUUCUUAACGUCCGGAUUUGGACUGAUUGGAUCUUUCCUAUU